CACACACGCCUACACACACACACACACUCAGAGCACCCACAAUAAUCCACACAAUCUCCAAAAAACAAGUUCUUAUGAGGUUACAGAAAUAAAUUAACACUUUGCUUCAUUGCCUUUAUUUAUUCUCUUCAUUCUCUUUUCUCUGCUGCCUGAGGUGUAAGUUUCAACUUCUUGCUUCUUAUAAUGUAUAGUUGAUGCACAUGCAGUACACAUACUGUAUGUGUGAUGCACAUGCAGUAUGAGAGGUGAAACCUCCUGAAGUGAGACUGCACCUGCUACCUUCCUUUUAUCUUACUUCAUAAAGUGGGAAGACAGACUACAAUGAAGAAUUGAGAAUUGAGUGGACUUGAAUAACACAAGACAAAAGACUAUGCUCAGUGAGGAUUAAAAUUUUUAAAAUAAUGCUUUGAAAAAGGUAGCCAAGCAUUAAAACAUCCAAGUUAAACAGUGAAACAAAUGUAACCUUUAUUGGUUCGGCUAUACUGUACUGUAUAAUAAAGUAUUGACCAAGCAUUUCUUUGUGAGGGUCACAGAUAAUGUUUCAAUACAGAUAGCUAUGUUUAUUUUUCCGUUACUUAUUCUGACUUCAUUUGCAGCUAAGCCUUUCUCUCUACAACAAAUAUGACAGAUUUUUAUGGUGUGCUGCAAUUUAACAGAGGCCAUUCAGAUUUUCACUCAGGACUCUUUGUGUAUUGAUCUCUGUGAUUGUGAUCUGAUCAACACUAAUCUAUUCUGCCCCCUUCAGUCAGUCAAACAGCUGCAGGCCUGUCUCUGUACUGACUCACUGAUCAGUUAUUAAAGGUGUAUUUAUUCAUCACUCUGCCUGGCUGCACAGACACACACUUAUUGUUCUCCUCUGUCCAACCGCAGACACACACACACACACACACACACACACACACACACACACACACACACACACAGGGUUCUGGCAGCAUUCCAGCUGUAAUUCUGUCUGAACACUCCAUUCUGGCUUCAUUAUCACUGGACCUCUCUUUACAGUAGGGAGAGAACACAGGGUGCUGUCAGACUAGGUCAAGGGGAUAGAAAAGAUUCUGGCUACAAGUGUGUGUGUGUGUGUGUGUGUGUGUGUGUGCGUGUGUAUCUAUUUCCUUUUAUAGGAGUAUUGGACAGCUAUUAGGGCUGCUGCCUCCAGCUGAGCUUCUCUAUUCUAGUGAACACUUGCUCUGUUACUCACUUUUCGCGUAUUUUGGUUUACUCACUCUACACUUCAUCUUCACAUUCCUUUUUUAUCCUCCAUCUAGUGUUCCCUCCAUUCUGCUCUCUUCUUUCUCUCUAUCUCUUCAUGCCUCAUCUGGUCUUAGCAGCAACAGCAGCCCCUCAUAGACUCUCUGUCCUGCUUAUUUAUCCCUCCAUCCCUUCAUCCCUCUCUUCUCCGCCCCUCCUUGGCAUGGCAGCCUGUCAUUAGUUCUGAGCUCACAGACUCAUGGCUUUAAUUUUGGCCUGCCUGCCUCUCUGUCUCCGGCCAUUUUGCAUCUGGUUUCUUCUCAAGGCUUUGCUGUUCAGUAUGUGUGUGAGUGUUUAGGGGCUGCAUAGCAUAUGUGCAUGUAAAAAAUUUGGAAGAGAUGUGCAUAUCCGUUAUGUGAAUGUAUAAAGGGUUAUGAUGAUGCAAAAAGGCUUUCAUCCCCAUAGUCCAUUAAGUGUAUAUACUGUAUGUGUGUGAAUUUUUGUGUGCACAUGCCAUGAAGGUUUAGUGUGUUGUGUAUAUUAGUCAAACAUUAAAUUAAAAUUUAAUUUAAUUGUAUGUCAAUAAAAGUUGUAAAAAUGUAUGAGGGUUAGGCAGAUUAUGGAAGCCAACAACAGCAAGUAUAACAUAUCAUAUGUAGAGAUAAAACAGAUUUGUAUAAAGCAAAGAAGUUAUGACAACUUUCCAACAAAAGUAGGAUGUGUAAAGUAAUUCAAAACAUGACACCUUCCUGCACAAUCUACACAGGCAAGCAUUCCAGGGACCUGAGGUACAACAGCAAAGGUUCACUCACUUUAGCCUUCAGCCUAGGUGACUCAUGAUCUGCUGUGGACCAGCUCACAGGGGGUCAAACAAGACAGAAAACAUAAGACAUAAAGUGGAAAAGAGUUCAUCUUAAGCUGAAAUGCCACCAGCUCCACCUUGAGAAUCUACAAGACUUGCCCUACAAAAAUUUGGUCUUUUUGCUGUGUGACAGAGGACCAAUAUAGACCUACU